UGAGCUGCCAGUUGUCAAAAUUACAGUUUUUUUCUAUCGCACAUUUGAUAAUACUAAAUGGUGAUAGUCGUAAAUAAACAUAAAAUGGUGUUAUAGUGUUUGUACUUUACUCUAAAAAUAAAGUGUGUUGGCUGGCAAACAAUAAAAUGCAUCAAACUCAAUAAAGAUUUUUCGAUUUGUUUUUGUUCGCACCAAAAAUCUGAUGAUAACUUGGAUUUGAUGAUAACUUGAGAUGACAUGGAAUGAAAAUGCGCUUAAGUACGUUCCAUGAUAAAGCAUUACAGCACAAGAACAUGUGAGGUCAAUACUAUGGCUUGACGUCAAGG